rfam:Oryza rufipogon genomic scaffold, chr02
AAUAAAUGACGUCGUUGACUUUUUCUCACAUGUUUGACCAUUUGUCUCAUUCAAAAAAUUUAUGUAAUUAUAAUUUAUUUUUUUAGGAGUUGUUUUAUUACUUAUAGUACUUUAAGUGUGAUUUAUAUAUUAUACAUUUGCAUAAAAUUUUUGAAUAAGACGAAUGGUCAAACAUGUGAGAAAAAGUCAAUGGUAUCAUCUAUU